rnacentral:rRNA from 1 species
GACGAACGCUGGCGGCGUGCUUAACACAUGCAAGUCGAACGAAGUGGCGAACGGGUGAGUAACGCGUAAUCAACCUGCCCUUCAGAGGGGAACAACAGUUGGAAAGGACUGCUAAUCCCGCAUACUGAAUGAGGAGAUUGCGGGUGAUUAGCUAGUUGGAGGGGUAACGGCCCACCAAGGCGAUGAUCAGUAGCCGGGCUGGGAGGGUGAACGGCCACAAUGGGACUGGGAACCGGCCCAGACUCCUACGGGAGGCAGCAGUUGGGAAUCUUCCGCAAUGGACGAAAGUCUGGCGGAGCAAAGCCGGGGGAGUGAUGGCAGCCUUCGGGUUGUUAAGCUCUGUUAAUCGGGACGCGGUACCGGAAGAGAAAGCCACGGCUAACUACGUGCCAGCAGCCGCGGUAAUUC